rnacentral:ncRNA from 1 species
UGAAAAGCUAUGAUAAGAAUAAGUAGUAAUAUAUAAUCCAAACAGAAAGUAACCGGUUGAUGAGAGGUGCAUGGUAGUUUAUUAUGAAUACAUCUUUGAGCUUCACACCAAACGAUUUUUUAUCUAGUAGGCUGUGACGUAACCUGCACACGUUAUAGUGCUAGAGUAUAACCCAUGUAAAGCAAUGGAGUACUCGAAGAGGUAGACAAUGUGAGUUGUCUAUAAACUAAGGUGGUAACACGAGAUAUUCUCUCGUCCUUUUG